rnacentral:rRNA from 1 species
CCGCAAUGUGAGAAAUCGCGACGGGGGGAUCCCAAGUGCCAUUCUGAAAAGGAUGGCUUUUCAUUAGUGUAAAGAGCUUUUGGAAUAAGGGCUGGGCAAGACCGGUGCCAGCCGCCGCGGUAACACCGGCAGCUCUAGUGGUAGCAGUUUUUAUUGGGCCUAAAGCGUCCGUAGCCGGUUUAAUAAGUCUCUGGUGAAAUCCUGUAGCUUAACUGUGGGAAUUGCUGGAGAUACUAUUAGACUUGAGACCGGGAGAGGUUAGAGGUACUCCCAGGGUAGAGGUGAAAUUCUGUAAUCCUGGGAGGACCGCCUGUUGCGAAGGCGUCUAACUGGAACGGUUCUGACGGUGAGGGACGAAAGUUAGGGGCGCGAACCGGAUUAGAUACCCGGGUAGUCCUAACUGUAAACGAUGCGGACUUGGUGUUGGGGUGGCUUUGAGCUGCUCCAGUGCCGAAGGGAAGCUGUUAAGUCCGCCGCCUGGGAAGUACGGUCGCAAGACUGAAACUUA